rnacentral:lncRNA from 1 species
CACAUUUUUCAAGAGUUAUGGACAUAAGGCUGAAGAGCAAUAUAAAUGCAAGUUAAAAAUAAAAGGCUUGGGAUCCCUGGCUUAUGUUUUUAAAAAAACAUUGCCAAAAAUUGACAAAAUUAGAAAUGGACUUACCAUAGGCUUAAAGUACUUGGAACUACAAUUUAUUCAAACAUUAAGACAACAGCAAUAUAAUCUAAUUUUAAAUAAAUUAAAUUCCAAGACACUCUCUUGCUUGUGCAUAUUUAUCUUCCUCUUUCUUUUCACCACAUCCCUUGCUCUGUGACACUGCUAAUACACUAGUAAAGGUUGAAAUAAAUCUUUCUGACCAAUCUCUUGCCUGUGCAAUUUAAAACCAAAGUCAGAUCCAGAGGGUAAAAUACAUCUCUCUUUUCCCUUUUGUGCUCUUUUAAUUUAUGUUUCUUUAAACAAACUAUUUUUAUUUAGAGGCUAUAGCAUAUUUAUAUUAUCACCAUUCUUUCGAGAAGUUCAACUCUUUUCAAGUAUAUCUUUUUAGUCUUCAAAACCCUUCUAUGACAAAGACAAAGAGUAGGUACCUCAUUUUGGCUAAUUCUAUACCAGGAUGAUAAGUCUUUUUACAUUCUGCUUCUCUAAGUGUGUCAAUCUGUUCUUCCCAGUUACAAACUCUGCACAUAGUAAGUGCUCAAUAAUGUUAAUGUUAAUAUUAAUGUUAAUGUUAAUGUUAAUAAUGUUAAUAAUGAUCUCAGAGCUGGAAGGGAUCUUCAGGAGCAUUUAAGUAGUAGUUCUGAGAACCAAGGAGGCAAAGUCACUUGUUUACCAUUUAAUGUGCUUUCUCUAUGCUGGAUUAAACGUUAAAUAACACUGGUUUAGUAAACAUUGUAUAUGUGUACUUGAAAAGAUGAUUAUCAACACUUCCUGUUUAGUCCAUUUGACCACAUCAAAUGUUCUACUCCAAGGCUACAUAUGGCCAACAACUCCUGCUUGAUUCUUGUUGAAACAAUAAUGGUGAAGAUGACGAUGAGCACGUACUGAAUGUUUAUCAUGUAUCAAGCACAAGUCUUUUAAUCUUAAAAACUCUGCCUAGAAGAGGCACAGUUAUUAUCCUUGGAUUAUCACAUUUAGUAGAAUAAGAAUCACAGACCUAGAGGGGUUCAGUAAUGUGGCCAAGUUGGGUAGCUAAUAAAUAGAAGAACCAAGAUUCUAAUCUAGUUCUGUCUGACUCUAGUGCUCAAGUUCCUACUCACUUUAUCUACAAGGUAAAAAGUGACCAGAAUCGAGUGAGCACUGUUCUUUCUGGGAUCUCUUCUGGUUCUAGAGCUAAUUGAAUACUCCUAUUUGAGAUUGUUCUGAGAGCUUAUUUUUCUGUCAAGUGCUAAAGAGAGGCUUACCCACUGCCAGUGGAAUUUUUAUAUGUGGCAUUAUUUAUAUAUAACAUAGUAGAAAGUACAAAGAACUUAAAUUGGGACAAGUAGCAGUAAAAUUCAUAUUCUACCAAUUACCUGUUAUGUAGUUUUACACAAACUUAACUUAUUUGAGUGUCAGUAGGCUGUUCCAAGAGUGGUUGGCAUAAGGUUUCAAAAUCUUAUGUCAAAUGCCCUGCAAAUAGAACACUGUCAAUAAAUACUGUUGUUAUUGCUGCUAACUGAAGAGUUACUACAUUUGCCCAUCUCUGGCACGAUGCUGCAAGUUUUCGUUAUUUUAUAUUUUCUUUCUGUCAGGAUACAAAUUAUGCCAGGACUGAAUGCAAGUGGAUACAUGAUGAUCCUGGAAGUCAAAACUUGGAUAGAUCCAUAGGCAUACUGGUUUAUGGCUCCUUUACGAUUGAGCAGGAGCCGUCAGGACACCUUGAACCACCACCAUCAAAAGACUGCUUCUCCACAGAGAAGUCAUUAGAUGAAACUGGUUGUACUAGUUGUCUUUAUCUAUCAUGAAUUUCUGAUUUGCCCCUGAUCAGGCUCUUGGCUAUGCCUUUGUAUUUCAGCUUGCUCUCCCUACUUCCAUAAUUUAAUUGAUGUGGUGCCCGGCCUGUGUUCUCAUGUCAGUUUCUCUUCUGAAACACUAGAAUAAUGACUUCUCCAUGGUUCAUUUGUCUUAUGUAAGGGACACAGCACUAUCCUUAGAAUACCAUUCCAGCUGAUCCUGACACUCAGGCCCUUGCUCAGCUCAUAGAAUAUUUUGUGCUGGUAAACUCUCUGCUGACCCUUUUGGGUUUUUUAUUAUCUUGUACAAAAGACAGAAAAGAAACCCUGCCUCACUGGAGAUGGGAAGAUCUAUGGGGCAUCACACAUGUGCAAGUUUGAUCCAUGCUGGUAUGGCUGUCAUUAUGUUUUAGCUAGGCCCAACUUUCAUAAGGGAAAGCCCUAAAGACACUGAAGACUCCUGCUAUGGCAUAAUUCCUUCAUAAUGACUAUGUAUACUCAUUCUCAGUAAUUCCUACGUGACUCAGUAGAAGUCACGUGAAAAGGAAGAGGUUUUGAAUAAAGCAUAUCAAAUUUCCCUUUCUCCCCCAUGUAUCUCUACCAACAGAUUCAGAAUCCUAAAGGACCUCUAGAAUAAUUUGCUCUUUCAGAGAUCCUCUGGAUUGGAACUAGAAUGGUUGUAUCUUCAUUGGAUCUAUAACCUUGGAGAAUUGAGAGAAAUCAAACAUUCUUUGAGUCUGGAUAUUCAGCUUCACAGUACAAGGGGGCCAUAGAGAUAUUCAAAUGCCAACAAUGACCCUAAUGAAUUCUGUGUUCCAGAAAAUAACAAGUGCCCAUUAAAGAAUGACAAAUUGUUAAUCCUAAUUAUAAAAAACCUAAGACCUUUAAAAUAAAGAAAAUAGGUUGCUUUUUACAAGUAUGUGUAAGAUAAACUUGAUUUCACUUCACUUUUUCAAUAGAGUUAUUGAAUACUCACUAUAUACCAUGAGUACUGGGUUAUGGAUAUAGAAGGGAGAGAAAGAAAGAAGAAGAGGAAAUAUGUCAGUUAAAUGAGAAAAAAGUUGAAGCUUUCCUGUCAAGAAAACAAUAAAGAAAAUUUUCAAUAAGGAUUAUGGACCUUUUCAACUUAAUCUGAAAAUGUUUCCAUGGUAAGAGUACUUUCCUUUCUCUUUUGAUGCAAUAUCUAGUCCAUAUGGACUGCCGGCAAGAGCCAUCACUGAAAAUUACAGGGAAAUCUGAGCAAAUGAGUAGAUGAAACAUUAUUUCCCUUUAGAGGAUCUUUGAAGGAAUACCCAAUACAACCCAACUCCAAAAUAUAAUGUACUUCCUAGUCAGAACAUAUAUAUUCAAGUAUAAUGUAAAUCCCUGACCCUACUAUAAAUACCGUCUUCAGGGAAAUCUUUCCCAAGCAAGAGAAAAAUCACAGUAUAAUACAUUUGGAUAGAUACAACAAACCUGUCUUCUUUUUGAUGAAUUGAUAAAUAUGUUUUUAUUGUUACUGUGAAAUAGGUUAUAUAUGUAUAUUGUUAUAUGACUUUUUUUAUGCAUGACAUAAUGUGAGAUUGCACUCACCAUGGAUUGACUUACAGUUUUCACUGUUCUGUGUCACUGUCAAAAGUUAUAUUCACAGGCCUGCAUUGUGUAUAUCUUGCUAGAAAGGAACUCCAGAGAAAAAAGUCUUUAUUACAAAAGCAAAAGCCACACUCCUCUCUAGAUGACUUGAGCUCUGCUUUGGAAAGCUUCCCUUAUUCAGGUUCUUAAAAUUGCUUCUUAGUCCCUUCUUUUCAUUUCUUCCUUUCUCUCUCCUCUCCCUCCUUACGCUGUGCCACCCAAGAAAAAUCACAUGAUUGCUCAACAAAGACCAAAGGGUAAGGUCUAAAUAUUUAUUUAUCUAAGCCAGUUGGAACAUAAUGACCAAUAGUAGCUAUUUAAAAUUGUGGUAGAUUUAAAGGUGGCUGGUGCUCCCCCUAGGAAAUAUGAAAUUAUCUGACUCAAUUGCCUUGAUGGCUUUAUUCUGGGGAAGAAAUUCCCUUUAAAUAGAGACUUAUUAACCAUAUGUCUAUGGAUAUUUCUAUGAAGGCUCUGCCUUAGAAAGAUACCUACUAGAGAUUUCACUUACUAUAGUCUGAGGAAAAGGAGCA